CAAUGCUUUUGGAUUCAAACACUAAAGUUCAUUCCUAAUUCUAGCCCAACUUGGUAAACCCAAAAGAAAUAAGCCCAUAAUUUCCCUACCCUUGUUUCAUUCACGUGAAAAGCAAAACUCAUAAACGCUCCUUACUCCUUCCCCCUCACGUGAACCAGGAAACCUAAAUAUUGCUCCUCUCUUUGCUCAGCCACCACCAGUAGCGCACCAUCACCACCUGCUCGCGGUUGCUGCGCCGUUCCGGCCGCGCCGCCUUGCUCUCACCGUCGCCGACGCUACGACCACUGUUUCCUGCCGGCAACCAAGCCACCAACCGACACCGGUCUCCUCCGCCGCCUCCGCGAGUCUCCUCGCCACCUGCA